rnacentral:rRNA from 1 species
CCUACGGGAGGCAGCAGUAGGGAAUCUUCCACCAUGGGCGAAAGCCUGCUGCAGCAACGCCGCGUGGGUGAAGAAGGUUUUCGGAUCGUAAACCCCUGUUGUUAGAGAAGAUAGUGCGUGUGAGUCACUGUUCACGUUUCGCUGGUAUCUAACCAGAAAGCCACGGCUAACUACGUGCCAGCAGCCUCGGUAAUCCGGAGGUGGCAAGCGUUAUCCGGAUUUAUUGGGCGGAAAGGGAACGCAGGCGGGCUUUUAAGUCGGAUGUGAAAGCCGUCGGCUUAACCGGAGUAGUGCAUUGGAAACUGGGAGACUUGAGUGCAGAAGAGGAGAGUGGAACUCCAUGGGUAGCGGUGAAAUGCGUAGAUAUAUGGAAGAACACCAGUGGCGAAAGAGGCUCUCUGGUCUAUAACUGACGCUGAGGUUCGAAAGCGUGGGUAGCAAACAGGAUUAGAUACCCCAGUAGUC